rnacentral:rRNA from 1 species
UACAGAGGUCUCAAGCGUUGUUCGGAUUCAUUGGGCGUAAAGGGUGCGUAGGUGGCGCCGUAAGUCAGGUGUGAAAUCUCGGGGCUCAACCCCGAAACUGCACUUGAUACUGCGGUGCUCGAGUACUGGAGAGGAGAUUGGAAUUUACGGUGUAGCAGUGAAAUGCGUAGAUAUCGUAAGGAAGACCAGUGGCGAAGGCGAAUCUCUGGACAGUUCCUGACACUGAGACACGAAGGCCAGGGGAGCAAACGGG